CGGACGGGUGAGUAAUGUCUGGGAAACUGCCCGAUGGAGGGGGAUAACUACUGGAAACGGUAGCUAAUACUGCAUAACGUCGCAAGACCAAAGAGGGGGACCUUCGGGCCUCUUGCCAUCGGAUGUGCCCAGAUGGGAUUAGCUAGUAGGUAAGGUAACGGCUUACCUAGGCGACGAUCCCUAGCUGGUCUGAGAGGAUGAUCAGCCACACUGGGACUGAGACACGGCCCAG
rnacentral:rRNA from 1 species